CACAACAACUCAAAUUUAUUAAAAACCCAAAACUCUCGUCUCUCUCAACCCUCUCUCUCUCAUCCGCUCAAUAACAAAAACCCUUAACCUAAUUUUUUCAUUUGCCAUUUCUUGCAGUCACAAACGGAUCACCCCAUCUCCAACUUUUGGGGGAACUACUACCGCAAACCUACUCAUUGUCAGCCGCUGAUUCGUUCUACCACAACAGCCGCUCCAUCUCUCCUC
rnacentral:lncRNA from 1 species